rnacentral:rRNA from 1 species
CACGUAGGGUGCGAGCGUUGUCCGGAAUUAUUGGGCGUAAAGAGCUCGUAGGCGGUGUGUCGCGUCGGCCGUGAAAACCUGCAGCUUAACUGUGGGCUUGCGGUCGAUACGGGCAUCACUGGAGUUCGGCAGGGGAGACUGGAAUUCCCGGUGUAGCGGUGAAAUGCGCAGAUAUCGGGAGGAACACCGGUGGCGAAGGCGGUUCUCUGGGCCUUACCUGACGCUGAGGAGCGAAAGCGUGGGGGAGCGAACAGG